GGUUAGUUUAGUGCAAUAAAAUAGAUUUUCAAAAAUUUGACUUUCUAGCAUGAUUUGGCCAUUUUCUCUGAAACUCAAUUUGCGACGAGUGACUAGUUUGGCUGGUCUUUGCCACAAACAUCCUUAUUUAACCAUGUUUCUGUAAGACAAAGAAUGUCAAUGUUAUUUUCAUGUAACAAGACAGUAAUUUGGUCUACCUUAUUACGUAAACUUUAGAUAGGUGAUUUUUAAUCCUUUACCUAAGAAGAAAUUGAAGUUUAAAGAUUCAUUAUAGAAAGGUAGAUUUAUAACAGCCUUUUUAAAGAAGCACUUGUCACAUCACCAUGUCGGUUUUCAUUAUUAAAGUUAUCAAUACAGACAUCAUGAAAGUUUAAGGUACAGGAGUCACAUGUUAGUAUAUGUUCAUUCAUUCUUGUAUUUUUGUAUGUAUGAAAAAAUUAAUAUUUUUUUCUCAAGUAUUUGGGGACAUGCUGAGUAUCCAGACAGGGCAAAAAAUAUACCCUUAUUUCCUGACGCAAACUUACAACAAUAUAAACAAUUAAUCAUUGGCAAAAAUAAACUUAGAACAACAUUCCCAUUACUCUGUAGAGUGUAAUUUUUUUUUUUUUUUUUCUUUUUAAACUAAGCCAAAACAACGUAAAUUACGUACCACAACGGUUUCGACCUUUAUCAAAUUUACGUUGUUUUGGCUUAGUUUAAAAAGAAAAAAAGAAAAUUACACUCUACAUAUUUACAAGAAGCCAAAUGAAAAUUUUUUGAACAUUCCCAUUACUCUACAGUAUAAUAGUAUAAAAAAUAUUUUAACAUUUUUUUCUUAUUUGUUUUAGCCAGGGUAUGCACUGCAUACCUUGCUUGCCUUGACGGUCCGCCACUGCACAAAAAGCACUAUUAUAGUAAUGUUUUACUUACUGUUCAUCCAGUAAUGGAUUCAAGAUCUGGCUUAAAUUUCAAUCCUUUUGUCUGCUAUUUCUCGAAAAAAAAAUCAGUAGAGGUUUUAGGAUCCUCUUCUUUUUUUUUUCAACUAAUUAUUGAAGGGAGUAAGGUAACUUGCUGGGGGAAGGGGAUGAUUUAGCAAAUCUAACCACGAUGAUUAAAGCACCACAAAACUCACACUUUCACUUUCACUUCUUGGAAAUUGAACUUUAAGAUGUGUAAAAUAAUUAUAAUGAUGGAACUGACAGUGGUAACACUUCCCCCCUUAAAGGAAAGAAAGAUUUAUGCAAUAAAUCUUUCUUUGUUUUAUACUAAAACAAUAAUAAUAUUGUUGAACAUACAGCACAACGUAAAAGGAUAAUACAGAUUAUAAGUAAAAGCAAUCAAGAUUCAUGCAAAACAAAGUAUAAAUUAGCUAAAAGUAAAAUAGCAUAAUUAAGCAAAAUAAAAAUAUAUAUGGUAAUAUAUGAAUUCAAAAUUAAUAGGUAAUUACAUGCAAAUCAAGCAAAAUCAUAAAACUUUCAAAUAGCAAACAUAUUAAUUGUUUACAGUUUAUGAUUUAGACUCGAGACAAAGCAUCAGGGACUAAGUUAUCUUUUCUCUUAAUGUGCUGAAUUAUCAGGUCAUAUUCUUGUAGGAUUAAACUCCACCUCAUCAAACGUUGAUUAUUGUUCUUCAUUUUAUUUCAAAAUGUGAGAUGAUUAUGAUCACUGAAAACAGUUAGGGUUUUAACAGAAGAAGAUACAUAAACAUCAAAAUGCUGGAGUGCUAAAAUUAAAGCAAGGCAAUCGUGGAGUAAUUUUUUUGAUAAUGAUUGAAUUUCUUUGAGAAAUAGCAUACAGGAUGGUCAAUACCAUUGUCGUCUUCUUGUAAAAGUACGCCCCCAGCACCAAUAUCACUAGCAUCGAUGGCUAAUUUAAAAUCAAUAUCAGAAUUUGGUGCUGAAAGAACUGGUGUGCUUUUAAGUACGGCUUUAAGUUUGUCAAAGGCGAGUUGACAUUGGUCUGACUAAAUAAAUUUCACUCUUUUUCUUAGUAAAUUAGUUAAAGGGGCCACGGUGGUUUCAUAAUAGACAUUAAGUCAUACCCCCUCUAUAGUAUAGAUCCGUAUUUUUUCGAAAUAAUGAUUUUAUGAGGGCGCUAUACAUGUAAACAGGGGAGUUACAUGUUUGGCGGGUUUUUAAAUGACCUACGAAUUUCGACGAAUCACGAUCGUUUACAUUGGAAAAUCUCAUUAAUAUUCAUUAUUAUUUAUUCUGGAGACCUUUGGGAAUCGUAUUAUGGGAUGUUGCAGCGAGACAGCAUGGUUUGGAGAAGAUGGUGAGUUAUUGAACAUUACCUUUGUUUUUUUUCUCAAAUUUAGCAUUAUUUUUUUCAACUAUUUAAAGGUCAUAAUUUAAUGAUUUAUAUAUUAAAAUCCUAGUUACUUUAUGAUAUGAAUUUUGUUUUAUAUAGUUGAUUAUUAUGUACAGAAUGAUGUUGGAAAAUUUCGUCUUGACGUAAAAGCUAGUUUUUUGUUAACUACAGAAGCUUUGUAUACCAUGUGUGCACACGUGUACGCUAUGUGGCUUUUGACAGGCAUGUUGAUAAUUAACAGAAUACACGUUUAAACAUGGUUAGAUGAGCCUAGGCUAGUUGCUGUAGUAGUACAGAAGGACCCUACUAGACUAGGGUAUGCCUAGGUUAGCCCUGCUUUCUAGCUAGCUAGGCUAACCUAGCACAUAUGAUUAAGGACGGGCCUGUCCUAUUACUACUAGGCCUAGGCUAUUAUAUUAUAUUAUUAUUUAUUUAUAUUAAUUAUUAUAGGCUGUGGAGGGUCCAGGGACCUAGGGAUCGUUAAUAAUAUUAGAUAAUAUUAGUCAAUAAUACCUAGGCCUAGACUAUCAGGUACUAAGUAGGUUGUGUUAAUGUGGUGGUGUUAAUUGGUCUAGGCAGCCUAGUACUAGUUAAUAUUUCGAUCCAUUAAUUAUAUUGACAAGUCGACAAAAAAAGAAUUGAUGUAAAACUGUUUUAAUUUUAAUAAAACAAAUUAAGUUACUAUUUGUAUAUGAUUUUUCAUACCGUAAUUAUAACUCAUUUUAAUUUAUUUCAAUUGUUUCAGAUACAUGAAAAUAUGACAUGUAGUAAACCAUCAUAUCACGCACGAGAAUCCACAUGGAUUCGGCUAGUAAGGGCGCAUAGAAAAAUGGUGAAUUAUACAUAACAUAAAAUAAUUGUGUGUGCAACCAAAGCAGAAAUAAUUUUUAAAGUUCCAAAUAUAAUUACAACACUAAAUUACACAAUUUCAGUUACCUCGCAACACUUGUGCACAUGAUUGCCCACAAAUGCCUUGCCAUGAUAUGCCUGGCGUUCUACCUUUCUGACCUGCAACACAUCAUCCAAUGCACAGACUAUGGGUCCUGAGCCAAAUUUAAGUUGUUUAUCAAGCUUCAUUUCCUUAUAGAUGCAGUGUACAAAUUUAAGUUGUGUUAAUUUAAUAUUGGUUAAAACAAUACAAUACAGUGUAGUGUUUUAUAUUUCUGUAAUGUGCUCAAUAAAAUGUAUUGAUUUUUAUUAAUAUUGUACUUUAUACUAACCAGAUCUUUAAUUUCUUGUUGUUUAACAGCUAUGUUCCUCACUGCAUUGCACACUGCCUUGGAUUUAGUAAUGUUUUUGUUAAUAAAUACCAGCGGUAUUUCAUCUUCGAGAAGAUAAAGAUAGAUUUGAUAAGGCAAAAGAAAUUCAAGGCAUCGAGAAACAGAAGUGGCUGCAAGAUACAGGGAAAGUGUUAGGACAUCCAGGAGAAUGUGAUAUUUUGCGGAGUUGCUGCCAAGCAGGAUCACAGUCAACCUUGAUAGCCAGUGACCUGUCAACAUCAACUAUGGAUGGAGUUGCAGAUGCAGAGAUUUCGUGUGCUAAUUGAUUGUUGCUAUCCCCAUGUGAUAUCACCUCGCGUAAAGAUGACAUUUCCUGUGUACGUCGUUGAAGACUCCUUUUGCACACAUUGCUGCUGGAUUUUGCUGCUUUUGUGAUUACAGCAAUCUUCACUGGCUGAAAUAUUGUAAUCACACAAUUUAAAUACAGUUUUCAAAGUGCUACUGCAUUACAAAUGCAAUUAAUAAAAUAUUUUCUAAUGCUGUAAUUAUGUUAAAGAAUGUUAAAUUAAAUUUGUUUAGUAUAAAAUAAUUAAACCCUAACCCUUCCUCUAGUUUGGAUUUCAACCUCUUUGCACUGCUUGAGAGAUCGAUACACCACUUUAUUAGCCAACUGUUGAACUUCAACUGGUAUAGCAUUUUGAUUUUCCUCAAUUUCUUGUGCAAUUGUGGUGAUUGCACUGGAUAUUCUAUUGUAUUGUUGUUCAGCUGGUGUAGAGCACUUAUGUUGAUGGCAGUCAUCAAAUUUUAGGGUUUCACCGCAUGAUUUACAUAACAGUUGCACAGAUUUCAAUGAGUUCUGAACAAUCAUGGAUGGUGUUUUCACAUCAGAUACAUUCACAGGACACCUGCAGACAAAACAAGGGCAUUGUCGGUCUCGAAGUGUGCCAAACAGUUUUGAUAGUUUCUACAUUUUCUACUGACAUAAUACGCAGACAAAUGGCACAUUCAAAUAAUGAUAACGAUGAUUGAUCUUUGAUUGUAAAUUGUUGAUUCAAUGCAUUGUGCUGUAAAUGCUUAGAACAAAUGAUGGGUUUCAUUCUGUAACCUGUUUUUUUGUUGUUCUUUGAAUAAAUAACAUGAAAGGCACAGGGUUCGUACGGGUUUUGGAAAGUCAUGAAAAGUUAUGGAAAUUUGUUUAGGUAAUUUCCAGGACCUUAAAAGUUAUGGAAAAAUUAUUUGGUUAUGGAAAAGUUAUGGAAAUAUGUAGAAUGUGACAAAUAAAAUAAAUAGUAUGUCAAA